GCCUCGCUAGGUAGCCUCAACAGGCCUACUAAGUGACUCAUGUUCAAGCAUAACUGAAUCAGAUACCCUCUUCAGACCUUCAUCUAUGUGCUGGUCACCAAGAAAGCUCCUAUUAGAAUGCUCUUCAAAACUUCCACCUUCACGUGCAGUUACAGAAUCUAAAACAGAAGGUCUUCCACUAUCUGUUCGGUCACUUGAUGCAUCCUGUGAUUCAACUGGAGGAGAUUCCUCAGUGACUUCUUUCUUCUGUUCCCU
rnacentral:lncRNA from 1 species